ACUGUAACUGCCGCACAUUGGCAGUUUGUUUAGUUGGUUAACCUCCCGUUUUUGGUUCCUACUGGUUAUAAUGGCACUGGGGCGGAACUAAUUGCCGCCGUCAUAUGUUUCCUACACCACACCUUUAAGCGACGUACCUAGCCAAACAGCGCGAAAGAAGCAGCACAAUCAAUAAGCUAUAAAUUAAAGUUAAAAGUAAAAGCACAUAAGAAGAAGAAGAAAAAACUAUAAAGGACAAGCAAUAAGAUAAGAUUCCCUCAAGUAGUAAGCAGUGGACGAGUUCUCACGGGUUGGUUCGACCUGGAAAUAAAACCCCGUUUUCUAACAAAGA